rnacentral:rRNA from 1 species
UGGGAUGACGUCAAGUCAGCAUGGCCUUUAUGUCCAGGGCUACACACGCGCUACAAUGGUUGGUACAAAGGGUUGCCAAGCCGUGAGGCGGAGCCAAUCUCAAAAAGCCAACCUCAGUUCGGAUUGCAGUCUGCAACUCGACUGCAUGAAGUUGGAAUCGCUAGUAAUCGCUGAUCAGCAGGCAGGCGGUGAAUUACCGGUUCCCGGGUCUU